rnacentral:rRNA from 1 species
UCCUACGGGAGGCAGCAGUGGGGAAUAUUGGACAAUGGGCGCAAGCCUGAUCCAGCAAUACCGCGUGUGUGAAGAAGGCCUGAGGGUUGUAAAGCACUUUCAGUAGUGAAGAAAAGCUAGUGGUUAAUACCCAUUAGCCUUGACGUUACCUACAGAAGAAGCACCGGCUAACUCCGUGCCAGCAGCCGCGGUAAUACGGAGGGUGCAAGCGUUAAUCGGAAUUACUGGGCGUAAAGCGUUCGUAGGUGGUUUUUUAAGUCAGAUGUGAAAGCCCUGGGCUCAACCUAGGAAUUGCAUUCGAAACUGGUAAACUAGAGUAUAGUAGCGGAAAGUGGAAUUUCCGGUGUAGCAGUGAAAUGCGUAGAGAUCGGAAGGAACACCAGUGGCGAAGGCGGCUUCCUGGACUAAUACUGACACUGAGGAACGAAAGCGUGGGUAGCGAACAGGAUUAGAUACCCUGGUAGUCCACGCCGUAAACGAUGAGAACUAGCCGUUGGGAGGGUUUUACUUCUUAGUGGCGCAGCUAACGCG